UAGACCAAUGAUGAACACCCUGGAAUGUCUGUACCAAGGAUUUUGAUUAAACCCUGUAACUCUGAGGUUCAU